rnacentral:rRNA from 1 species
GAUGAACGCUGGCGGCGUGCCUAAUACAUGCAAGUCGAGCGAACAGACGAGGAGCUUGCUCCUCUGACGUUAGCGGCGGACGGGUGAGUAACACGUGGAUAACCUACCUAUAAGACUGGGAUAACUUCGGGAAACCGGAGCUAAUACCGGAUAAUAUAUUGAACCGCAUGGUUCAAUAGUGAAAGACGGUUUUGCUGUCACUUAUAGAUGGAUCCGCGCCGCAUUAGCUAGUUGGCAGGGUAACGGCUUACCAAGGCAACGAUGCGUAGCCGACCUGAGAGGGUGAUAGGCCACACUGGAACUGAGACACGGUCCAGACUCCUACGGGAGGCAGCAGUAGGGAAUCUUCCGCAAUGGGCGAAAGCCUGACGGAGCAACGCCGCGUGAGUGAUGAAGGUCUUCGGAUCGUAAAACUCUGUUAUUAGGGAAGAACAAAUGUGUAAGUAACUAUGCACGUCUUGACGGUACCUAAUCAGAAAGCCACGGCUAACUACGUG